UCAGUUCAUUUCAGUGAACCUUCAAAGGGCAGAGGGAAGUUUUCCUUUAGCUCCUACAAGAUCAUAUCACUCAGAUGGGCAAAAUAUGGAUUCAGGUCAAAAUGUUAUAAACUAAUAAAAAUUAUAUUUUUCUUUAAUCUUCUCAUCAAACUACACAACCACUGUUUCCCACUGUACGUCCUCCACUUUAUGAAGGUUUGUCAUGCCAAGCUCAUCCCUGACUCCAUGAUUUAGUUGAUGUUGCUUUUC
rnacentral:lncRNA from 10 species